AACGAACGCUGGCGGCAGGCCUAACACAUGCAAGUCGAGCGAGGACUUCGGUCCUAGCGGCGGACGGGUGAGUAACGCGUGGGAACGUGCCCUUUGCUUCGGAAUAGCCCUGGGAAACUGGGAGUAAUACCGGAUGAGCCCUUUGGGGGAAAGAUUUAUCGGCGAAGGAUCGGCCCGCGUUGGAUUAGGUAGUUGGUGGGGUAAUGGCCUACCAAGCCGACGAUCCAUAGCUGGUUUGAGAGGAUGAUCAGCCACACUGGGACUGAGACACGGCCCAGACUCCUCGGGGGGGGAGCAGGGGGGAAUUUUAGAAAAGGGGGGAAACCCUGAUCCAGCCAUGCCGGGUGAGGGAUGAAGGCCUUAGGGUUUUAAAGCUUUUUCCGCGGGGAAGAUAAUGGCGGGACCAGCAGAAGAAACCCCGGCUAACCCCGU
rnacentral:rRNA from 1 species